rnacentral:rRNA from 1 species
AUUGAACGCUGGCGGAAUGCUUUACACAUGCAAGUCGAGCGGCAGCGCGGGGGCAACCCUGGCGGCGAGCGGCGAACGGGUGAGUAACACAUCGGAACGUACCCUAUCGUGGGGGAUAGCUCGGCGAAAGCCGGAUUAAUACCGCAUAAGACCUGAGGGUGAAAGCGGGGGAUCGCAAGACCUCGCGCGAUUGGAGCGGCCGAUGUCGGAUUAGCUAGUUGGUGAGGUAAAGGCUCACCAAGGCGACGAUCCGUAGCUGGUCUGAGAGGACGACCAGCCACACUGGAACUGAGACACGGUCCAGACUCCUACGGGAGGCAGCAGUGGGGAAUUUUGGACAAUGGGGGAAACCCUGAUCCAGCCAUUCCGCGUGAGUGAAGAAGGCCUUCGGGUUGUAAAGCUCUUUCGGCAGGAACGAAACGGUGGAGGCUAAUACCUUCCAUCAAUGACGGUACCUGAAGAAGAAGCACCGGCUAACUACGUGCCAGCAGCCGCGGUAAUACGUAGGGUGCGAGCGUUAAUCGGAAUUACUGGGCGUAAAGCGUGCGCAGGCGGCUUUGUAAGACAGGUGUGAAAUCCCCGGGCUUAACCUGGGAACUGCGCUUGUGACUGCAAGGCUUGAGUGCGGCAGAGGGGGGUGGAAUUCCACGUGUAGCAGUGAAAUGCGUAGAGAUGUGGAGGAACACCGAUGGCGAAGGCAGCCCCCUGGGUCGACACUGACGCUCAUGCACGAAAGCGUGGGUAGCAAACAGGAUUAGAUACCCUGGUAGUCCACGCCCUAAACGAUGCCAACUAGGUGUUGGGGAAGGAGACUUCCUUAGUACCGUAGCUAACGCGUGAAGUUGGCCGCCUGGGGAGUACGGUCGCAAGAUUA